rnacentral:lncRNA from 13 species
GGAAGAGACACCGCUUUGGAUAGUCACUGUAUGUAUGAAUGGACAAAGCAUUUUAUUAUGUGACACAAUUCAUUCCUAUGUAAAGACUCAAUAGCACAUUGAAGCCAAAUAAAGUAAUUUAAGAUUGCUUCUCAUGGAGACAUAACACGAGCAGUUUGAACUACUUCAGGAAGUGACGUUGCAGGCUAGCAAAGUGCUGCCCCCUCUCAUUGAGUAACUCAAGUUGAUAGCUGACCGAGAUACUUGUUAUAUAAAUAUUCAUACACAUAGCUCAUAUAAACAAAGACAUUCCGUCGUAAGAACACAUACACCCAGCCAUAAGACUGACCCCCUCUUCCUUAUAUAAACACACAUCUCAUCCCUCUAACUGGCCGGUCCCAAGAGCAAAGAACUUUUGCUGUGCACCAAUGGGGCCCGCUCUGGCUAGAGCAAGGCCCGCCUCCAACCCUCCGACCAGUCAAGAAGACCGAAACGACAAGACUCCACCUACUUUAUUCUAUGUAUAAAAAUGUAUGUAACCAUUGUAUAGGCCUCUUUUUCACCUGGCUCCUUGCCGAGUUAUGUGAACUAGGUCCGUGCACGUAAAACUGCGGGACAAGAUAUCUCUGACUCAUUAAAACUGUCUUUCGUUACAACUGAAAUCCACUCUGUCCAGCGUCCGUGAUUUGGUCUCAACUCUCCAGUAUUUGAACACUAACAUACUGCAGGCUGCCAUCAGCAGCAACAUUUUCUUUAUAUUGAUUGGUGGAGUGCUGCAGAGAUGGUUGUCCUUCUGGAAGUUUCUCCACAGAAGAACUCUGGAGCUCUGUCAGUGUCCAUCGGGUUCUUGGUCACCUCCCUGACCAAGGCCCUUCUCCCCCGAUUGCUCACUUCAUUUUCUUUCCUCUAAAACUUCUGUGUGCGAUUUUAAAAUAAUUGGUUCAAGGAUAUACAUCUUGUGUAUUAUAAACUAUUAUUGGUACCAUGGUCUUAUAAAUUAAUGUUUGAUUUACACAAAGAUUGACUUCGACGAUUGUCAUUUUUCCAUUCACUCUGAUAGGGGAUCCUGUAU